AUGAUCACGUUCUCUCCUUCAGAGGAUCCGCCUGCGCAAACACCACUUCCCAGUUCCUCCUGUCUGCUCUUCUUUUCCUGUAUGUGUGGUGGAAAACAAUUCACGUCGACACCUGGGGAGGUUGGACUUGGGACUGUUUCCAGGAGUGGGGCUCCUACAUCCAGCUGGCUGUUCCCAGUAUGUUCAUGGUGUGCAUCGAGUGGUGGACCUUUGAGAUCGGCACCUUCCUCGCAGGUUGGUCAGCAGUUCCGUAGAAAUCCAAAAACAGCCCGGUCACUCUUGUCUCCAGAGCUUUUCAAGAGACAUAGGCCUUACUUCUCCUUCCUUCCCGUUGCGUCAGGCACUCGUGGAAGUUUCAGCAUAGGUUUAAAUCCUUGUCCAACCCUAAGCUAUUCAAGUUGAGUGGGGCUUUUAGCUCUGCCUCACUGCCCUUCACUUCCUAGAUUCGGAAAGGGAGGCCGCAGUUGGGAGGUUUGCCACGGUCACGGAGAGGGAGAACAGAAAGCCCAGUCCAGGUCUCCUGACUCUCUCAGACCCUCUGCUUCCGCCGACCUUUGCUGGGCACCUGCGAGUUUUAAGCCAUUUACAAACACAGAGUGACUGAUGUGGCUCUAGCAGCUAUGAUAAUUUCGGUCAUCGGUAUUCACUGUAGCCAUCUUAUUGCUAGUAAAGGAGUAGAGGAAAUAACACAGACAGAGGUUGAUAACGAUGCUAGUACAGUUUCUGGGGACAGCUGAGUACUCCAGUAGUCCCACCACGUCUACACAGAAUGCCACUGCGUUCCGUCCUUCCCCUCCCACAUCACGACCCUAUGUCUCCCCGAGGAGUGACCUGUAACUCUAGGAGCCUCGUUGUUUUCUCUUUAAACCUGAUGUUUUGUUGCUUGGUGGGGCAGGGCCUUGUAGAUUGAACCUAGCUGCCCUGGUUCUCGGAAACUUCCUGGGAGUGGACAUCUGGGGCUCUCCUUAGCACAGGUCGUGAACUCUGCCACUCGGUCAUGCUUCUGGGGGCACUCCUAGCUUCUUUAAAAAUUUUUCUAAUAAUUUUAUUUAUUUAUUUGAGAGAAAGAGCACGCACGAGUUGGGGGGAGGGGCAGAGGGAGAGAAUCUCCAAGCAGACUCCCUGCUGAGUGCAGAGCCCACAGGGCUCGAUGUCAUGACCCAUGAGAUCACGAUCUGAGCCGAAACCAAGAGGUGGACACUUAACCGACUGAGCCACCCAGACACCCCUUCACUUCUUUUCAGUUAAGAUAUGUUCUAGUUGCCUAGGGAAAUGUUUGCUUUAAUCCACUUCUAAGAUGUCUUUUGUAUGUGUCUGUGCCAACAUUUCAGGCCUGAUCAGUGUGACAGAGCUUGGGGCCCAGGCCAUCGUUUACGAACUGGCCUCUGCAGCCUACAUGGUAAGAACCUUCAGGGUGAGACCCAGCACCUUCUCUGCGUAAACUGCCGGUCCGCUGUCACUCAUUCAUUCAGCCUGCCAUGCCGUGCACCGGCAGAGAGGGGAGGCGGGCAGCAGGAGAGAGAGCACAGCAUACUGGGGAGAGCGUGGGGUGGGGAGCCAGGCACCGGGCUUGAGUCCUGCCCUGCUGCUCCCCAGCUGUGCCACUAUGGGCUCGUUACUUAACCCUUCUGGGCUUCAGUUUUCUCAUACAUGGAAUGGGAAAACAUAAUACAUAUGUAGCAGGUGAAGACUGAAUGGGAUAGAUAAUGUGUUAAAGCACUUAGCACAAGGCCUGGCAUGUGUAUUCAACCAACAUGGAGUUGGUGCCAGGAGAUGAUGGAGAGUGAGAUGGAGACGGUCCCUGCCCACUCGUGGCCCGUGGUCUGGUGGGGAGACGGAGACAAACAGACGGAGACACGAGAGCAUUACACACAUACAUGACCUGUGCCACAGAAGAGGCAAAAAAAGGUCUGAGGUGCAUAAAAAUAGAGAUGGAUACCUUUGUAGGGAGGGCAGUCAGAAGCGGUCCUUCUGAGUUCCUGGCUAAGCUGAGACGGGAAAGGGGAGAGGGACCAGCCUGGGAAGCCGGAGGCUGAGAGCUGACUGCAAAGCCUGAGCAAAGGUUCCACGAUGGAAAAGAGCACGUGGCGUGUUCAGGGACCCGAAACGGGAACCCGGCUGAAGGGGUUAGUGAGGAAAGAAGGGUGUGACCUGUAGAAGCUGGCUUAGGGGAGAACAGGUGGUUGGGGAAGGUCUGGAAGGAGGCUGCUGGAAUCAUCUAGGUGAGCACGUGGGAGGCUGCUGGUGGACGGGGAGAAAAGUCGUGAGUUCGUUGUGUUGCAGGGCAGAGUUGAGAGGAUAUGACCAGGGCUUGGGUUUGGAAGCCAAGGCAAUGAAUAGGAAGCAUCAAAAACAACCCCCGACUUUCUGGCUUGAAUAACUGUGCCUUGUAUCUCUCGAUUCUUUUGGAAUAUUCCAAACGUGUACGAAUACUCCCUUGUUUGUCGCUGUUUGGUAUUUUUUUUAAAGAUCAGCAAAGGCCAUCUGGGUAAUUGGGUUACGGGCCAUUUUUGUUUCCAUGUAUUUUUCUUUUUUUAGUCUCAAAAAUGAACACAAGGUUUUCUUAGUGGGGAUUGAUGACGUUGUUUGGGAAUAAAAACGGAGAGUGUCUAGGAGCA
ensembl:lncRNA